UACGGGGGGGGUAAGCGUUGUUCGGAAUUACUGGGCGUAAAGGGCUCGUAGGCGGCCAACUAAGUCGGACGUGAAAUCCCUCAGCUUAACUGGGGAACUGCGUCCGAUACUGGAUGGCUUGGAUUCGGGAGAGGGAUGCGGAAUUCCAGGUGUAGCGGUGAAAUGCGCAGAUAUCAGGAGGAACACCGGUGGCGAAGGCGGGUCUCUGGGCCGAUACUGACGCUGGAGGAGCGAAAGCGUGGGGAGCGAACAGGAU
rnacentral:rRNA from 1 species